rnacentral:misc_RNA from 1 species
CCCCUCUACGACCCGGAAAAUCUCGAGACCUGUUUCGCAUUUACAGACACAAAACGGAAGCUGCGCAUAGUUCUAAGUAACACAGACAUACAGCUUGGGUAUAACCUUCUGGAGUUCUCCCCUCAGGUGGGGCAGGAGGGGGUGAAGAAGGACCCUGCAGAAAUCUACAAGAUGUUACGAGGGCAGCUGGCCGAGGCGCUCAAUCUACAGGAUAAGGACCUCAUAGCUCAGCUUCACGAGGCUAUCCGCUGUGUCAGGCUCUUUGAUGGCGAAGGAUGUAGGAAAUUGGUGCGUUCUCUCCAAGAGGACUAUCAAAGUCGUGCUGCUUACGUUUCCUAUUUAAUUCGUUGUCGGCAAGGCCUGCUGGGAACCCACUCACAUCUACAGCGUCUUCUUAGCAGAAUCAAAAGGGACAAGGAGGUGUGUGGGAAUCACAUGACCAGAAUCUGUGUCAAGCUGUUCAUUGAAAAGAAGGAAAGCAGUGUUGUCCGAUUCAUGUCUGACUUCAACAAACUGACGGUAUCCGAUGAAAAGACUGACCAUGUAGAACAGUUUCUCCAGUACUUGUACCAGGCCAUGAAUCAGGACCCAGUGUGGCAAGCUGCCAAUGAGUGUCAGAUUGAGGAUGCACAGCUGGCCAUUGAGAGGUACAUCAUGAGUCGGAUCUACACACAUGCCAUGUUCCCCAAUGGAGACGGUGACAUCAUGAGAGACCAGUUGUUUCAAGAACACAUCAAGAAGCUGAGUAAUGUCAUAACUCCGUCCCACAAGGAUCUCCGGAUUCCACGGAUGUACCAGUUCGAGUGUCCCUGGACAGCCGCCCAGAAGGAAAUCUACAUGAUCAAUGCUUAUAAGACCCCAAAGGACAAGGUCAAGUGUGUGUUCCGCUGUGCCACCACCAUCAUGAACCUCCUCAGUAUGGCCAACGAGAAAGCGGUGCCCGCUGCUGACGAUUUUAUCCCUGUUAUCAUCUUUGUGAUCAUCAAGGCAAACCCUCCCUGUCUGCUGUCCACCAUUCAGUACAUACAGAGUUUCUAUGGUAACAGGAUCGGGGGAGAGGAGCAGUACUGGUGGAUACAGUUCUGUUCAGCGGUCGAGUUCAUCAAAAACAUGGACUACAACGAAUGACCACGGUCUAUAAUUAGUCUAUAAUGAGUGAUGGUUGUCUAUUUUAAUUUUACUGCAUUUUGACUUGUUUUUUGUGUUUAUUUGUCUUCAUCAAUGCACUGAAACUUUUCUUGUGUAGUUUUCCCUUGAUAAGUUGAUAUAAGUUGAUGCAUGACAACUGGUACCUUUUGUUUUUGAUUUGCAUAUAGUGCUAGUGUUUGUUAUUUUCAGUGUCUGAAAGCACUGAUCACUGAAGAUGACAAGCCGGUUCAUCUUUUAGCUGUUGAUUGACAAGAAAUGUGUCAGAAGUCUUUCAUUUAUGUGGAGAAAUAUUUCAAACACUGAAACCUUUGUUAACGUUAUUGUUGGGGUUCACAAUACAAUGCAGAUUGAGUUUUAUAUGUUACUAACGAUAUGUAUGGUACAGUCCAGUGUCAGAACUGAUAAAUAAUGUAAUGUCUGAGGACCUCAUUUUAGUUCAUUGUUGAUUGGUUGUCAGUCAGCCAAUCAGCAGCAUGUGAUGAGACCUGACAAUGGACAUUGAUGUUAUCUUUGAAACAUGACUGGUAAAUUACUUUUUAUACUUUGUUGUUGGAUGUAUUCUACAGAACUUGUACAUUAAAUCACAAGAUUCAAGAUCUACCAUUAACUCCUAAGGUUCACUCCUUGUAAAUAUCUUUUGAUUUGACAUGUUCUCCACUCACAUAGAAUGGAGCCAUGUGGUCAACUUGCUCUGAUUCAUGUUGAUUCUGUAUAACCUCAGUUUAACCCGGCCUUGGUUGUCAUUGGCUUCAUCUUCAUUUUAAUGGCUAUUGAUCAUUGGUUGAGAAUAACUGUAGUGUAUUUUGUUUACUUGUACCUACACAUGUAUUUAAUUUGAAAACAAGGUAUGGGGAAUUGUCACUUUAUGGAAUAGAAAAUGAUUGGGAAUAUAAAUCACUAUUUGUAGAUGUUCAUGAAUGUAGGGAGGUCACAUAUAAACCUAUUAUGUUCAUCAACUGUACUUACCAGUAAUACCUGUGAACCUUAAUUGUUUAUUUAAUUAUUUCAAUACAAGCUGUGAUUGAGGCGUUUUAUAUAUAUAUGGAAUAUUAUAUAUACAUUUACUAGUUACAAGUCUUUUUUGAUGUGUUGGUACUCUGUUACAAAAUAAUUGGUGUUCAUGUAAUUUUUUAGUCAGCCAUUGUCAGGUAACACGGUUCUCGUUAAUCAGUAUUUGACCAAUGCUCUGCUUCCCAAUCAUCAGUGCUAUGCAUCAUAUAAAUAGGGGAGAACAUGGACUCCGGAUCUCUCUCAUUAUUUGUGAUUUAUAAGACGAUGAACUACACAUUGUAUCACAGAAACACAUACUGAAUAAACUUUUACAAAAGUCUG